rnacentral:lncRNA from 1 species
AGGACAGUUUUUCAUUCCCUUCUUAGAAAAGAAAUGUUUAAAAUACUAGUUACUCAUGCCUUGUUUGACAACAACUUAAAAAUGAACCAGUAUCCUAUAUUCUCCUAUUAUGUUCUCCAGACAACUGACACUAAAAACACAAAACAGCAGGAUUCGCAUUUCACCUUUGUACUGCACACCUCAAAGUCCAAGUCUUCUGUUAUUGAUACACUUAUCUGCAAAAAAAGAAAGAAGUUGCAAAUCUGACUUCAGACACUUCCUAGCUGUGUGAUCCUGGACAAGUCAUUUAACCCUGGUUGGAAGCAAGGAAGAAAGGAAGGAAAGAAGGAGGAAGGGAAGGAAAAAAGGGAGGAAAGGUGAAAGAAAAGAAAGGAAGAAGGAAAGAAAGAAGGAUGGAAGAAAGAAGGAAAGAAGGCAAGUAGAAAAGAAAGAAAAAAAAGAAGUUACAUUAUUUAACUUCUAUUUCCAUUGUCAUUUUAUAGCAAAACAUUACAAAUUGCCAAAUAAAAUAGAUAUUUAUUUG